GGGGAUUUAGCUCAGUGGCAGAGUGCUUGCCUAGCAAGCAGAAGACCCUGGGUUCGGUCCUCAGCUCCG
rnacentral:tRNA from 1 species